CCUACGUGCGGCAGCAGUGGGGAAUAUUGGGCAAUGGGCGCAAGCCUGACCCAGCAACGCCGCGUGAAGGAAGAAGGUUCCCGGGUUGUAAACCUCUUUUAUCAGGGACGAAGCAAGUGACGGUACCUGAUGACUAAGCCACGGCUAACUACGUGCCAGCAGACGCGGUAAUACGUAGGUGGCAAGCGUUAUCCGGAUUUACUGGGUGUAAAGGGCGUGUAGGCGGGAAAGCAAGUCAGAUGUGAAAACCAUGGGCUCAACCUGUGGCCUGCAUUUGAAACUGUUUGUCUUGAGUACUGGAGAGGCAGACGGAAUGCCUAGUGUAGCGGUGAAAUGCGUAGAUAUUAGGAGGAACACCAGUGGCGAAGGCGGUCUGCUGGACAGCAACUGACGCUGAGGCGCGAAAGCGUGGGGAGCGAACAGGAUUAGAUACCCCGGUAGUC
rnacentral:rRNA from 1 species